GACGAACGCUGGCGGCGUGCUUAACACAUGCAAGUCGAACGGAAAGGCCCUGCUUUUGUGGGGUGCUCGAGUGGCGAACGGGUGAGUAACACGUGAGUAACCUGCCCUUGACUUUGGGAUAACUUCAGGAAACUGGGGCUAAUACCGGAUAGGAGCUCCUGCUGCAUGGUGGGGGUUGGAAAGUUUCGGCGGUUGGGGAUGGACUCGCGGCUUAUCAGCUUGUUGGUGGGGUAGUGGCUUACCAAGGCUUUGACGGGUAGCCGGCCUGAGAGGGUGACCGGCCACAUUGGGACGGAGAUACGGCCCAGACUCCGACGGGAGGCAGCAGUGGGGAAUAUUGCAUAAUGGGCGGAAGCCUGAUGCAGCAACGCCGCGUGCGGGAGGACGGCCUUCGGGUUGUAAACCGCUUUCGCCUGUGACGAAGCGUGAGUGACGGUAAUGGGUAAAGAAGCACCGGCUAACUACGGG
rnacentral:rRNA from 1 species